UUUGUUGUUCCAUCUUAUACCUAGUGUGGAAAUAGGCGAAAGUGUACGUGGGGAAGACGUCUACAUUGUGCAGAGUGGUUGUGGGGAAAUCAACGACAACCUAAUGGAGCUUCUCAUCAUGAUAAAUGCCUGUAAGAUCGCAUCGGCUAGUCGUGUGACAGCAGUCAUACCAUGUUUCCCCUAUGCACGUCAGGACAAAAAGGACAAGAGUCGAGCCCCAAUCUCUGCUAAACUGGUUGCAAACAUGCUGUCUGUGGCAGGUGCAGAUCAUAUAAUCACCAUGGAUUUACAUGCUUCUCAAAUUCAGGUAUGAAGUAAAACAGAGAUUGAUAUUU